rnacentral:lncRNA from 1 species
CAAAAGGAAAGAAGACCCCACAAACAAACAAAAAUAACAGCUCUAAAAGAUCAUGCAGGUACGGUGCCACUGAUUCCCAGUAGCAGAUGUUUCGGGUGUUGCAACUCCCAUCAGAACAGCUGCAGGAAUGUAGAAUCACAUCUGGGUUUGCAACGGGGCUGCAUCAUUACCCAUUGACAGUGAAACAGCCAGCUGCUUCCAAUUCGUUUUAGCGACUGCGCUUCGAGUCUGAGCCUGUGAACAUCCCACGCUUUACAACCGCCGCUUGUCGUUCCCUGCACACGGUACUUGCUGCGGGCUGCUGUAUCGGCCGGCCCUGGGAGGGGGAGCAAAGCCAGGGGAGGAGAGUCGGCGCGGUGGCUGUGCUUUGCCUCUGGCUGCGGCAGGGCUGAGCCGCGGGAGCUGGUUGAGCCCUUUUCCUGUGAAUAAAGGCACUGGAGGUGCUGCAGCCUUCGUGUACUGCAGUGACCCUCCGUGGGGCCAGCUUCCUCCCCGCUAAACCCGUCACGCCACCUUCUCUCUCCUGCUGCUUUCUCCCUCCAGCGACUAUGUUCAGGACGUGCUGCGGGUUUCGGGCUGGUACUUUAGACAUCACCGAAUGGGAAAGAGCCUCAAGUCCCUGCAGCAGGGGCGAGCAAAAGCGGCCAACUCGGGCACCCCUUUCUCCUGCCACCACUCCCUCCCAGUGCCGGCUUGCUGCUGGAGGUGUCUGUGGGCUGGAGGUCCCCACCAGCGGGACCCAGAUCCACAUGCUCAAGUUCUGCGCUUAAAUGACUUAAAAGGAAGGAAUUUUGCUUUUGCUUUGGCUCUUUGCAGGAGACCAGCCUGGGACCCCAACUCCUUCCGUACAGCUAGGUCAGCUGGAGAUAUUUCCACCAGGUGGAGAUACCUGGUGUAAAUAAACAGUGGCCGAGAUCAAAUGCCCAAAGUGGUAAAUGAGCACUUCCACCUCCCUACUGGACCUGACCUCAGGGGACUCAGUGCUGGCACUCUCAGGGUGGCACGUAACAUCUCGGAAUACCUGAGCACAUAGCAGCCUUCUUGAAAUCUCAGAACUUCCAGGACCUACGGGACAAGUGUGGUUUGAUGCUUUACGUCAUCCUUUGGAAAGCCACAAAGUAGCAUAUACUAAGUGAUGAAAUCAAAUAGAUAACCUUUUGUUUCUAAUGGGUUGUUUCUCCUUGUAUUUCUGCACUUCCUCCAUACCCAAAUAAUGCCCUAGUGAAG